rnacentral:tRNA from 1 species
AGGGGUAUAGCUCAGUGGUAGACAGCAUGCUUGUUUGGCAUACAUGAGGUCCUAGGUUCAACCCCGAGUGCCUCCA